UCAAGAAUCUACGGGAGAAAAUUGCACAGACAGUGCUAUCUGCAUCAGUAUCAAAAGAUGAAUACUGUGCAUCCUGUGGACUUAAGGAACUACCUAGAAUCACAGAGACAGUGGACACAUUUAUUAACUGGACUCAGUGUGAUCACUGUGAAAGGUGGUACCAUGAUUCCUGCAUGCAAAUCGACAAUCGCAAUAAAUGGCACUGCAAUCUUUGUAAAGAAAAAAAAAAAAAGGACACAAACUCAUAAAAGUCUUGACACAGACUACGCACAAAAAAAAAGUGUAUGUGUGUGCAUAUAUGACAGAUGUUACAAUCAUCAGGUUCAUUGUCAUAGACAAUGUUUGUAUGAGUAUGUUUGUAUAUAUAAUUUUGUAAAAU